CCUACGGGCUGCAGCAGUGGGGAAUAUUGGACAAUGGGCGAAGGCCUGAUCCAGCAAUGCCGCGUGUGUGAAGAAGGUCUCCGGAUUGUAAUGCACUUUCGACGGGGACGAUGAUGACGGUACCCAUAGAAGAAGCCCCGGCUAACUUCGUGCCAGCAGCCGCGGUAAUACGAAGGGGGCUAGCGUUGCUCGGAAUGACUGGGCGUAAAGGGCGCGUAGGCGGUUUAUGCAGUCAGAUGUGAAAUCCCCGGGCUUAACCUGGGAACUGCAUUUGAGACGCAUAGACUAGAGGUCGAGAGAGGGUUGUGGAAUUCCCAGUGUAGAGGUGAAAUUCGUAGAUAUUGGGAAGAACACCGGUGGCGAAGGCGGCAACCUGGCUCGAUACCGACGCUGAGGCGCGAAAGCGUGGGGAGCAAACAGGAUUAGAUAACCCCGUAGUC
rnacentral:rRNA from 1 species